CUAAAUUUUAUUCCUUUACCCAUAUACAUUUCCAGGUCCAGAGAGAUUGUGCUGAUCUAUUGAGUCCUCAUUUUGCUUCAGACGGUAUCGUUCCUCGCUGCCUCAAACACGCCACAACUCUAGACCACAUAAUGGACUUCACUAUCCUCAGAGCACUAAACUCUCUCUUCUCAAUGCUCCACCAGAUGAUCAGAAACAUAGUCUCCUACAGCCAGUCUCACCCAGACUUACCCAUGCUCUCAGAUCAGAUUGAGGCCUACGUUCCACGCUACCUCAAAUUCUGUUUGAUCUGGUGCUUCUCUGGAGACAGGAAGAUGGUCUAUCAUGAGAAAAUGGGCGACUUUAUACGAGGGACAACCACCAUACCACUACCACCUGGCACUGCCCCCAUCAUUGAUUUUGAAGUUAACAUUCAAGGAGAAUGGGUACUGUGGUCUAACAGGUUGUUGGUCUUAAUGUCUCAUCAGCCACUAUCCCUGAGCUAUUAUUAAAGAGGUUUGAUCAUUACUGUGAGUACAAGAGGACUCCCAAUAGAGUUGUGAUGGCUCCUUCUCAACUCGGAAAGUGGCUGGUUCUCUUCUGUGACGAGAUUAACCUUCCAGACCUUGACAAAUAUGGUACCCAGAGAGU